rnacentral:rRNA from 1 species
UACACGCUGUGACUAGCAUAUCAAUAAGCGGAGGAAAAGAAACUAACAAGGAUUCCCCUAGUAACGGCGAGUGAAGCGGGAAGAGCUCAAAUUUGAAAUCUUAAAGGGUUUCCCUUUACGAAUUGUAGUUUAAAGAAGUGUUUUCUGUUGAGGUUUUGGUAAAAGUUCUUUGGAAUAGGACAUCAUAGAGGGUGAGAAUCCCGUAUUUGACCUUUACUUUCAACUUUGUGAUACACUUUCAAAGAGUCGGAUUGUUUGGGAAUGCAGUCCAAAAUGGGUGGUAAAUUUCAUCUAAAGCUAAAUAUUGGCGAGAGACCGAUAGCGAACAAGUACCGUGAGGGAAAGAUGAAAAGAACUUUGAAAAGAGAGUUAAACAGUACGUGAAAUUGUCAAAAGGGAAGCGUUUGACACCAGUGUUGUUUUUCUGAAAAUCAAUUAAAGAACUGUUUAUGCUAAGUUGUUUAGACUUUAUCAGCUAACUGUCUAGUUUUGAGCUUUUCUUUAAUGCACUUUUCAGUUAACAAGUCAACAUCAAUUUCUUCUGCUGUAAAAAAGCUUGAGGAAGGUGGCUUGAGAUUCGUCUUAAGUGUUUAUAGCCUCUUGCCUAUGCAGUCGGAGAGAUUGAGGUCUGCAGCGUAGAUCCUUCGGGGCUAAAUGCAUUUGUGCUAAGUUAUAGCAUUUUAUAGACAACUUGUUGACUAUGAUUUGUCUUGUAGCUUACUCGCUUAUGUUAUUUUACCUACGCUUAGGAUGUUGACGAGACUGUCGAUCUC